GAUGAACGCUGGCGGCGUGCCUAAUACAUGCAAGUCGAGCGAAUGGAUUAAGAGCUUGCUCUUAUGAAGUUAGCGGCGGACGGGUGAGUAACACGUGGGUAACCUGCCCAUAAGACUGGGAUAACUCCGGGAAACCGGGGCUAAUACCGGAUAACAUUUUGAACCGCAUGGUUCGAAAUUGAAAGGCGGCUUCGGCUGUCACUUAUGGAUGGACCCGCGUCGCAUUAGCUAGUUGGUGAGGUAACGGCUCACCAAGGCAACGAUGCGUAGCCGACCUGAGAGGGUGAUCGGCCACACUGGGACUGAGACACGGCCCAGACUCCUACGGGAGGCAGCCGUAGGGAAUCUUCCGCAAUGGACGAAAGUCUGACGGAGCAACGCCGCGUGAGUGAUGAAGGCUUUCGGGUCGUAAAACUCUGUUGUUAGGGAAGAACAAGUGCUAGUUGAAUAAGCUGGCACCUUGACGGUACCUACCAGAAAGCCACGGCUAACUACGUGCCAGCCGCCGCCGUAA
rnacentral:rRNA from 1 species